UACGUAGGUGGCGAGCGUUGUCCGGAAUUACUGGGUGUAAAGCGCGUGUAGGCGGGAGGCCAAGUCUGCAGUGAAAUCGCUCGGCUCAACUGGGCGGGGUCCGUGGAAACUGGUCACCUGGAGGACGGUAGAGGCGAGUGGAAUUCCCGGUGUAGUGGUGAAAUGCGUAGAGAUCGGGAGGAACACCAGUGGCGAAGGCGGCUCGCUGGGCCGGACCUGACGCUGAGACGCGAAAGCGUGGGGAGCAAACAGG
rnacentral:rRNA from 1 species